GCCUGGCUAGCUCAGUCAGUAGAGCAUGAAACUCUUAAUCCCGGGGUUGAGGGUUCAUGCCCCAUGUUGGGCG
rnacentral:tRNA from 1 species